rnacentral:lncRNA from 1 species
UGCACAAAAAAAAAAUUGGUAAAUUAUUAAAUUUUAUAACAAUUUUUAAAUAUUUGACAAAAUAUACAGAGAAAAUAAAGAAACAGAAAAACUAAAAACUACAAUAAAGACUAAAGCUACAAAGGAAAACAAGCAAAAGCAACAAACAAAAAACACCUCAAAAUAAAUUAAGGGGAUCAUGGAUAAUAAAGCACCAAUUCCGAGUAUAGAACUCGAACAUUUGUAAAGUUGCCGCAGAUCCAAAGAACUGGAAUCCUCAUCUUUGUUGCCACGAGCUCCUCCUUCCGAGACCUGCCCUCAAACGUCGCAAGUGAGAAGAGCCUAUAGCUUCUCCAAGAACUAUGCAAAAACGAACCAACUUCAGAAGAUCAAGCUACACCCGGCGGCAUAGGAGCUUCUACUAGCAGUCAGAGAAGUUGCCUCCGGCAAGCAUCCUCAAGCUAUAAAAUCCUGAAGAAUCAUCUCCCAAGGUUGCAACAGAGCCGCCAAAGUCAGACCGAUGCCUCUAUUCAACACCUAAUCACCACCAACACUGCAGCGGACCAAAACUCAAUUGAAUAAUCACAUGUCCAUAACCUUUGAAGCGAAGCCACGCUGGAAACCAUAACAGAUCUGGAUAGAUCCGAAGAGCAAACAAAGGGGAAACUCUGAACUCCACCACAUUGAAGCGCCACCCCCAGCCAUCACCGAAGAGGUGCUCACGCCAGAGCUAACAGACCCAAGACAUCCGCCUAGGCAUAACCUCACGAAGGAGAAUAUGCACACGCCGAAAAGAGAUGCCACUAAUCUGAGAUGAGACGUCGCACCCUGACCACCGCACUUGACUGGAGCAGGGACAGUACUCAAAUCCCUGCCAUUGAGAAAGAGCAGACGAACCAGAGAGAGGCGAAAACACCACUUUGAUCGAAAGAUCACUUAAGACGAGACAAGAAGAGGUAGACAGAUUGCCGAUGAACCGCCAAACGCCACACAAUUACAAUGAAUAGAUCUGUCACCUCAACCACCAGAUAAUCUUUCCCAAAGUGGCGACUCCUCAACUUCCCUGCUGAAAACUGAAUAAGCAGAGAAGCAUAACUGAACAAAAGAAAGCAGAACAGCCCUCUCCAGACAGAGGUGAGGAGCACCGACCGCGGAGAGCUGGAACGAGCUAAGGCGAAGAGGAGUGGCAGCUGCAAGUCGAGAAAGAAUAUAAGAAGAACUUAUUAAGCACUCACAAUAAUUUUUACAAGUUAUGGGAAUAUAAAAUAACAUAAUAGUAUUUAACACUUUCGUACUAUUAUUAAAUUAAGUUCCCGACACAACAUAUUUCUGGAAACACACACAACAAAGAAUUACAAUACAAAAUAACACCCAAUUAACAUAUAUUGCAGCAUCCAUAAUUACUAUGUAUAGUAAAUUCACAUGAAACAUAUAAAGUUAGUCUUAUAUAAGUUAAGAAAAAAAGAACAAGUGAAAGUGAGUAACUCCUAGAGAAAAAUAAA